AGGAGGCAGCAGUGGGGAAUAUUGGACAAUGGGGGCAACCCUGAUCCAGCCAUGCCGCGUGUGUGAAGAAGGCCUUCGGGUUGUAAAGCACUUUUGUUGGGGAAGAAAAGCACUGGGCUAAUACCUUGGUGUCAUGACGGUACCCAAAGAAUAAGCACCGGCUAACUUCGUGCCAGCAGCCGCGGUAAUACGAAGGGUGCAAGCGUUACUCGGAAUUACUGGGCGUAAAGCGUGCGUAGGCGGUUUGUUAAGUCUGUCGUGAAAGCCCCGGGCUCAACCUGGGAAUGGCGAUGGAAACUGGCGAGCUAGAGUACGGUAGAGGAGAGUGGAAUUCCCGGUGUAGCAGUGAAAUGCGUAGAGAUCGGGAGGAACAUCAGUUGCGAAGGCGGCUCUCUGGACCAGUACUGACGCUGAGGCACGAAAGCGUGGGGAGCAAACAGGAUUAGAUACCCUGGUAGC
rnacentral:rRNA from 1 species